rnacentral:rRNA from 1 species
UACGUAGGGUGCGAGCGUUGUCCGGAAUUAUUGGGCGUAAAGAGCUCGUAGGCGGUGUGUCGCGUCUGCCGUGAAAACCUACAGCUUAACUGUGGGCGUGCGGUGGAUACGGGCAUCACUUGAGUUCGGCAGGGGAGACUGGAAUUCCUGGUGUAGCGGUGGAAUGCGCAGAUAUCAGGAGGAACACCGGUGGCGAAGGCGGGUCUCUGGGCCGAUACUGACGCUGAGGAGCGAAAGCGUGGGGAGCGAACAGG